ACGCAGCUUUUGGGCCCACCAGGCAUGUACUCCAGCUCUGCCCAAUUGUAUUUGUCACCAUUGUGAUGCAGAUUAAGGAUUUAUUUAAUUUGUUUGUUGUUACCAGAGAACAUGUUGCCCUGCUCUCAAAAAAAAACAAAUGUUCAGUUCCAGUAUUUUGUUUGCCGAAUCUAUUUUCAAACCCUGUUUAUGCUUGUAAUUAAAUCUGCAUGUCAAAUGGAGGAACAUUGUUUUUUUGCAUUUUGUCUACCUGUUACAACCUACCCCAGUAGGUGUUAAGGUACGGCCACACCAAACGCGUUACCCGCGUACGACGCGUAUAAAAUCGGCAAUUUUUCCAUAGGGAACCAUUGGUUUACGCGCGUAUGAGCUGCGUAGAUGCGUUACAUGCGCUAAAACAACAUUUUAGCCGCGUAUGAGCUGCGUGUUUAUACGCACCUAACGUACAUACGCGCAGAGUUAAAAAAAUGGAACUUUUUACGCUCAUACGCAUGACGAUUAGCCGCGUUGCCCAAUCAGCGUUGAGCUUGACCCGACGUCACUGGCAGAGAGACGGAAAGGACAGAACAGAAAUGGAGGACCAAAAUCUCAUAGUCGCUGUGUGCAGCCGUCCUGUCCUGUACGACACCACGAUGGUGUCGUACAGGGACAGGAACAAAAAAGAGAGGGCAUGGGUCGACGUGGCCGAGGAUACUGGCGUUCCUGGUAAGAUCAGUGAAUAAUGUGUGUGUGUAUUUUGCUUGGCUUCAGCUAUCGGUUGUGUUCUACUAUGAAAAAAGUUAGCGCCGGUUAGCGGUAGCACCAGUUAGCAGUAAUAUUAAGUUAUACUACUACAACAGACUGUCCCGCUUGUCAGGUUACACUACUUAAUAUGUAUAUAUGUUCUUGUCAGUGGACGUAUGUCGCAGGAAGUGGAAGUCGCUCAGGGACAGGUACAUGAGACACAAAAAGAGUGAAAAAGAGCGGGUCAGCGGCAGGGAGAGUGAAGAGAUGGAAAUUCGCUGGGGUCCUGUCCUUCCUCGACCCCUUUGUUACCCCGAGGGAGACCAGCAGCAACUUACCUCUGGGGGCAGAGGAGGUAGAGGAGGACGGGGCUCCAGAGACAGGAUAAGAUGAGGAGCUUGAGGAGGCAGCAGCAUCGCACAAUACAGACCAGCCCGCUGGCCCUUCCUGUGUACCUGUCCCUGAGGCUGGCCCUGCCCCAAGACCACAGGGCGGGACGAAGAGGAAGAGAGCCAGGGUACCAGAGGGGAACACAAAUAUACAGACAGCCAUCCUCCAGGCCCUGCAGAGGCAAAAUGCGGUGCCUUCCCCUAUCCCGCUCUCUGGGAAUGAGCACUUUGUCAUGGGCCUAGUUC
ensembl:lncRNA